UACGGAGGGAGCUAGCGUUGUUCGGAAUUACUGGGCGUAAAGCGCACGUAGGCGGCUUUGUAAGUUAGAGGUGAAAGCCCGGGGCUCAACCCCGGAAUUGCCUUUAAGACUGCAUCGCUUGAAUCCAGGAGAGGUGAGUGGAAUUCCGAGUGUAGAGGUGAAAUGCGUAGAUAUUGGGAGGAACACCAGUGGCGAAGGCGGCUCACUGGACCGGUUCUGACGCUGAGGCGCGAAAGCGUGGGGAGCAAACGGG
rnacentral:rRNA from 1 species